rnacentral:rRNA from 1 species
UACGGGGGGGGCAAGCGUUGUUCGGAAUUACUGGGCGUAAAGGGCUCGUAGGUGGCCAACUAAGUCGGACGUGAAAUCCCUCGGCUUAACCGGGGAACUGCGUCCGAUACUGGUUGGCUUGAGUUUGGGAGAGGGAUGCGGAAUUCCAGGUGUAGCGGUGAAAUGCGUAGAUAUCUGGAGGAACACCGGUGGCGAAGGCGGCAUCCUGGACCGACAUUGACGCUGAGGAGCGAAAGCCAGGGGAGCAAACGGG